GCAUUCAUAGAGCCUCUCAUCCUCUCCAAUCACCGUAAACUCGUACACAGCCCCUAUCUUUAUUCCAAGGCAAAGCUACUUCUUGCGGGCAGUCUUAAGCAUCGACGGUCUCGCCGCCGCCGUCUGCCGAGGCCAGCACGAGCUCUGGGUGCAGCGGCUCGGCUCGGGUUGUGCCGUCGAGAGCGUUGGGCCGCCCCAGGGCCUUCAGCGUCAGAUGCGCCGCCUUUUGCCCGGAGAUCAUCAUCGCCCCAAACGUUGGCCCCUGCAACCAAAACCACACAGAACCCACCACCACACACGGAUCAAAUCUUUGUAAAGAUUCAUGUCGACUCAUCGAAUCGUUCUCGAUGAGCUCUGUUUGUCUCGGAAGUAAAUAAGCGAGAAAAAAGAUCCAAUCUUUUGCCAUAAACAACCUGAGAGAAGAAAGCAAUACAAAGAAUAUUGCUUUAUGUUAUAUCUGCAAGUAUAGUAUUCAGAAAGACCGAACUUUUUGGAGUGUUUUUCCCCUAAAAUCGACAAAUAAUUCUCAAAAUCAUACAAAUGACAAAUUUUAGUGCAACAUAAGCUGUAAAGAUUGAAUCUUUAUGAUAAAAGAUAUAAGAACAGAGGUGCCAAGAAAGACGGGAUAUAGAUACCAUUCUUGGAGCGCCAUCGAUCUCGGCGACCUCCAUGCCGGUGACGAUCAUGCCCGGGACGACCUCCCUGGUGAGUCGGACGAUGGCGUCCUCCGCUGCGUUCAUAUCCAGGGCCUUCAUCCCGGGCACCGAGUCGAUCAUCCCGAUGCCCUUCAGCCGCUUAACGCCGGUGGCGCCAAAGGGCCCGUCGUGGCCGCAGGAGCUCACCACCACCUUGGCCUCCAUCACGUUGGGGUCCAUGCAGGACUGGGUGUCAUGGUUCAUGGACACCAGCGCCCAGUUGGUCACCACGCCGGCGACGCGCCCUUCCUUGACGAUGAGGUCCUCGGCGGCGACGGCGUUGAAGAGCUUGACGUUGGGGCGGGCGAUGAGGCGGCUCAAGAUGGUGGAGGUGAAGAGUGCAGCGUGGCGGACCACGACGUAGCUGUCGGCCUCGUCGUACGGGACGCCGAGCUCGUCGAGGAAGAGGUGGGCGGGCUUGCGGACGACCAUGGCGGAGAAGAGCUGGCCGCCGAGCCACGCGCCGCCUCCUGGGGAGACGGACUGCUCCACGAUGGCCACGCGCACGGACGGGUCCUUGGAGAUCUCGUAUGCGCAGGACAGCCCCGCAGAGCCGGCGCCGAUGACCACCACGUCCGUAUCCGCAUAGCUGAUCAUGUCGGUCAUGUAGCGGCGGGUCAUCUCCCGGGAGACGAUGGACUCCUGGAUGGGCUUGAAGGAGAAGGAGCCAAGGUCAUACUUGGGGGCGGCCAAGGCGGAGGUGACAGACAGGGCGGCCUUGCCGCUGCCCGAGUGGGAUGGGAGGGGGGUAGCCGCCAGGCGGAGGCCACUGAAUGAGGAGCGGAGGUGGUGGUUGCCGGCGAAGAGGGACUUGGGGUUGGAGAGGAGGAAGGAGGUCGCCAUGGAUGCGGCCAUCGGAGGGAGCUCGGGAAGGGUAUGAGUUGGGGGUCUUGGAGAGGUUUAAGGAGGAUAAGAACGCGGUGGGAAGACGAGAG
rnacentral:lncRNA from 1 species